CCUACGGGGGGCUGCAGUGGGGAAUAUUGGACAAUGGGCGAAAGCCUGAUCCAGCCAUGCCGCGUGUGUGAAGAAGGCCUUCGGGUUGUAAAGCACUUUCAGUGGGGAAGAAAGCCUUGGGGCUAAUACCCUCGAGGAAGGACAUCACCCACAGAAGAAGCACCGGCUAACUCCGUGCCAGCAGCCGCGGUAAUACGGAGGGUGCGAGCGUUAAUCGGAAUUACUGGGCGUAAAGCGCGCGUAGGCGGUCUGAUAAGCCGGUUGUGAAAGCCCCGGGCUCAACCUGGGAACGGCAUCCGGAACUGUCAGGCUAGAGUGCAGGAGAGGAAGGUAGAAUUCCCGGUGUAGCGGUGAAAUGCGUAGAGAUCGGGAGGAAUACCAGUGGCGAAGGCGGCCUUCUGGACUGACACUGACGCUGAGGUGCGAAAGCGUGGGUAGCAAACAGGAUUAGUACCCUGGUAGUC
rnacentral:rRNA from 1 species